rnacentral:rRNA from 1 species
GGAGAAAAGCAGGGGAUCGCAAGACCUUGCGCUAAAGGAGCGGCUGAUGUCUGAUUAGCUAGUUGGUGAGGUAAAGGCUCACCAAGGCAACGAUCAGUAGUUGGUCUGAGAGGACGGCCAACCACACUGGGACUGAGACACGGCCCAGACUCCUACGGGAGGCAGCAGUGGGGAAUUUUGGGCAAUGGGGGAAACCCUGAUCCAGCCAUGCCGCGUGAGUGAAGAAGGCCUUCGGGUUGUAAAGCUCUUUCAGCCGGAACGAAACGGUUACGGUUAAUACCCGUGACUACUGACGGUACCGGAAGAAGAAGCACCGGCUAACUACGUGCCAGCAGCCGCGGUAAUACGUAGGGUGCGAGCGUUAAUCGGAAUUACUGGGCGUAAAGGGUGCGCAGGCGGUUUUGUAAGUCAGAUGUGAAAUCCCCGGGCUUAACCUGGGAAUUGCGUUUGAAACUACAAGGCUAG